rnacentral:lncRNA from 1 species
CAGAAGCCAGAGGUAAGAUGGUUUGGGGGAUGUCUCUGAGCCAACACUAUUCAUUUGGAGAAAGAUGAAAAACUACAUACAAGUCACCUCACAUCACAGCUGCUUCUCCCAACCUUCCUAUUCCUCCAGAACCAUCCUCCUCCAUUUCUUCUUCAGAAAACAUCAGGUCUUUCAGAGAUGACAGCCAGACUGGUCAAAACAAUAUACAGUAAGACAAGCAGUGUUAUAGCAUGCUGUUUCCAGCAGUAGAAAGCUGCCAUACCUUCUACCACGAUGAUAACAGAAGGAAGCUCUGAGACGAAAUCUUGUUGAUGGCUGUGAUCCAUAGAGUACCAUGACACCUUGUUGAUGCUGAUACAAGAGGCCAUGUUGAAAACCUUGGUCCAUCUUGCUGCUUAAGACAAUGUCAAAGUAAGUGUUAUGUGCUGCUACAGUAGUCCAGUUGGAAGACUAUGAACUGAACUGCAAACUAAAGCUAUGUUGAAGUAACUGAUGACUAUUCACAAUCACAAACUAACCAUGUUGAUGUCCAAAUGGAGACCUUGUAAUAGCCAUGAUCCCUGUUGACAGCGGAGACACUGUUGAAUUCCAUGGUCAAUACUGCCUCCUGAAGCCAUAUUCAAGGAAGUGUUCUAUUUUGUACCCAAGAACCAGUAUUAUGUAUAAAAUUCAAACUGCUCAAUGGCAAUAUGUUGUUGUCAUAGCAACCUGUUUAUACUGUGGAUGAAUAAGCAAUGGAAUUUUUACUGAUGUCAGUGAUCCAUAAUUUAGCCCAAUUUAUGAGAAGUAUUCCAUUUUGAUGUCACACUGAAUCCUGACACUAGAGGUUUCUGUAUAAAGUCUUACCUGUU